rnacentral:rRNA from 1 species
AGCGAACGCUGGCGGCAGGCCUAACACAUGCAAGUCGAGCGCCGUAGCAAUACGGAGCGGCAGACGGGAGAGUAACACGUGGGAACGUGCCCUUUGGUUCGGAACAACCCAGGGAAACUUGGGCUAAUACCGGAUAAGCCCUUACGGGGAAAGAUUUAUCGCCGAAGGAUCGGCCCGCGUCGGAUUAGCGUGUUGGUGGGGUAACGGCCGACGAAGGCGACGAUCAGCAGCUGGUCUGAGAGGAUGAUCAGCCUCACUGGGACUGAGACACGGCCGAGACUCCGACGGGAGGCAGCAGCGGGGAAUAUGCGACAAUGUGCGCAAGCCUGCUCCAGCCAUGCCGCGUGGGUGAUGUAGGCGCUAGGGUUAUAAAGCCCUUUCGGCGGGGAAGAUAAUUACGGUACCCGCAGAAGAAGCCCCGGCUAACUUCGUGCCAGCCGCCGCCGUAACAC